rnacentral:misc_RNA from 1 species
UUCUUUCAUUUUUUUUUUUUUUGUUUAAUUCAAAGCCAAUCCCUUUCCAAUCCACUGGCAUGCAACGACACGAAGGUAAACUAUUACCAAUUUCCUAAUUCACGAGGAGAAGAUGGUGGCUGUGCAGUAGCGUAGCUAUUUGCACUAUGAAGAAAAAAAAUCCCCUCCCUGUUUGGUCAACAACUAAAGUAUGAUGAAAUUCCCGGUUGGUCAAAGAUAGUGUUGGAGACAGUGUUGGCUAACGUGUAUCUCAAGGAAGAAAGGGGAGAAAUCAAGUACAGUCAAACAAUCAAACCAACCGUUGUCCAAGCGUUCAACGGUGCAAACAGCAAGGGCAAUUCCAGGCACUCAAUAAUGUUGGAUGAAGCAGCAAUUCUGAGAUAAGGAACAUGCAGCAACGUGAUGUACCAAUAAAAACACAAGCUAUACAAUAUGUAAAAAGCAGUCUUUUGUGAUUGUUGUUGUAUAACCUCUCUAAAUAUAAUCAAAAUCCCGUUCAGCAUUAUGAACAAGCACCUGCAAAGAAAAACAGAGGUGGGCAGUCCAGUUUAAUGUAGGUUGGAGCAGCAACAAGUAGAAACUCAUCCCAAAACAAAUGAGUUAAGAUUAUAUGCCCUAAAUACAAUGGAAACUUAUUUUUUAGAGAACAAAAGAAAACAAAUGCACAUUCAAAGCUGCAAUUUUGUAAUGCUUUUACCUUGCAGCAGUCAUGAAAGUAGCUAAGACAAUAAUGACCAUUUACCAUGAGGUUUAUCAUUACAGAACACCCACUUUCAUUCAAGUUGGAGGCUAUACAUCUUUCAAAUAUAUACACAAGCCAAAACAUCCAAAUACAUUUUCUUUAUUGUUCAUGUUAUGAACACCUAUAGGCUAUAACCACGACGACAACUGGUAAACAACAGAAAUUUUUAAGUAAGAAAUUCCCAUGUUGGCAUCAAAAUGCUACUACAAUUUAGGUCUGCAUAACAAAGGGUUGCAUAAUGUUAAUAAUAAUUCACUUAUAACAUAUCUAACUAUUCAAUCUUGUUCAAUGAACAAAAAUUUAAGGUAAAAUAUAAAAGAAUAAAUCUUUAAAAUUCUUGAACAAACAACAAAUUUGCUGAAAAACACUAACUCCUUAUCCAAUGAUUGAACAACAGAGCUCAUAUUGAUAGUUGGCACAAUUUAGGCCUCACAGCCAAACUCACUACUCAGAAGCACUGUAGAUUUGUUUGGAAUUACAGAAAUCAUAUAAUAACUCAUGCUAGUACCAGAAAAGGAGUAUUCCCAAUUGAAACAGAAAAUAUAUGUCUACCAGGGUUAAAGGGAGCAAAAAUGUUUGUGAAAGGAAAAGUGACAUUAUAACUGCUUACCCAACUAAGACAUAAUAGAAUGUUUGUGUCACCUGGUAGUUUCAAUCCAUUUUUGAGAAAAUAAUUAGAAUAUCUACUUGUGGCUUCUAUUUGCAAUGCAGAGCAGUACACCAAUAGUUCAACCUUACAAAUGAUUCUGGAUCACAUUAGGGAUCAAUAAAAGUAGAGUUGUGUCUAUCCAUGUAUUUAUUUCUUAAUGUUUAAUCCUGAUAUAAUAUUGCCAUAUUCUGCAAAUAGAGCAAAAGAAAUCGGACUGGAAACACAAUGGUGAUGAUAUUUCCAGCCUGGGUUAAACUGUAGGUAGCAAAAGCUUUCGUCUAUAAAGCAGGAAAGUACAAAGUAUACCAGCAAGCAACUAUGCAAGGUACACAGAACUAUUAAAUUCCCUACAAGUCCUACCACACAAUUGGAACUCUUUGGGCAAAAACGUAAUCGAAUGAUAACACAAAAAGCAAUCAACCUACUUCAGGCAAAAAUUUGAAGUAUAAAAUCCAAGCUAGCAAACAUAUAAUUGCCAAAAUUAUUGUCAAAUUUCAAAUUCCCAAGUAAAGACCAAACCCACUGUUACAUUAAUCAAGAGCUAACUUGCAAUCAACAACACCAUCAUAAUUGAAAAUGACUACCAAACCUGCUUAAUCUUCAAUGUGCCUUUCUUCUCUGGGGUUGUUUAUCAGUAGCUAACCUGUAUAUCCAGUAAACCUAACACACAUAUAUAUAGAGAGAGAAAUCAAAGAUGUGCAUUCCAAUUUGGUUAAAUCUAAGAGAUUGAAACAAUGAAAUGAGAGUACCAAAGCGAGGACGUGAGCUGCUAUUAGAAGAACCACCAAAAGAGGUACCAAAUCGAGAAACCACGGGCGCAUUAUUGAGUCCGCCAUUUUUUGAGAGAGAGCUAGAGAGGUGAAGAUAAUCUCUGAACCCAGGGUUUUCAAAUUCGCUUCGACUUGGUAAAGAAGAAAAUAUUGAGGGGUUUAUGCCAAUUUGUUU